rnacentral:lncRNA from 1 species
CUGCUGCUGGCCCAGCUGAAAUGGUUCCUCCUCCUCCACCUCCGUCCCGGUUGCUUCUGGUAGCCCUGGUGGGUCUCCUGAGUCUUCACGAGGUGGUGGCUGAGCCGGCGGAGGAGGCAGGAACCCGUUGUCCCGAAGGCCUGUGGCCUCUGCCUCCACAGGUAGGAACCCUGUAGGGCCGAGGACGAGAAGGGUAUGAACUAUGAACGGCCUCGCUGCACCCUCGGUGGUCGCCCGAUUGGGACAUCUGUUGGUUUCUCCUGCCCUCAGUCUCCAGCGUCUGCAUCUCAGCCCAGGGCUUGGGGCUAGUUGUCCCCUUCUUCACACCCAACACGAAGUCCCCAGCUGCUCUCUUCUUUCCCCAUGUGUAGGUGUUACCAAGAGUGACUUACACACAGGUGAGACAAGGACAGGCUGAGGGUAUCACUUUCUUCUACCACCCCUGUGCCCACCUCUGGCUGAAGCUCCAGCUUGCUGUCUUGGCCCAUUUGUGUGUGGCUAAGCCCACACUCAUUCCUGACUUCAGUCUCCCUUGGGACCGGCCCUUGGUGCUGACAGCAUGGGGGACUGCACUGGAGAUGGCUUGGAUAGAGCCAGCCU